AAAUUGAAGAGUUUGAUCAUGGCUCAGAUUGAACGCUGGCGGCAGGCCUAACACAUGCAAGUCGAACGGUAACAGGAAGCAGCUUGCUGCUUCGCUGACGAGUGGCGGACGGGUGAGUAAUGUCUGGGAAGCUGCCUGAUGGAGGGGGAUAACUACUGGAAACG
rnacentral:rRNA from 1 species